UGUAAUUGCAUUCUUUCUUCUGUCAGUUAUCAGCUGUUACUUUUAGCUUGCUUUAGAAAAAAAGUUUAAAAAAGUAUAUUUGAUUAAAGUUCAUUCUAAGUUUUAUUAAAAAUGCAUUUACUUUCUUUUAAAAAAUCCGCAAUUACUUUUUGGGCAACCCAAUAUUAUCUCUUCUUCCUCGAUGUCCCUUCUGCAAAAGUCGUUGUUGGCAACCUUUAGUCUGUCGGCAUGUUUUCCGGUUAGACAGUGACCUGUCAUGACGGACACACAAUGAUUGAGACGUCUGUUCUAGACAAUGACAGCAAAGCAGUAGACCUCUUCAAGUCUAGAUGUGGCCACAUUGCUUUGGAAUGCUCAGAGCCCCCUCUUUGUGAACGUCUAUCAUUCAUUGCCCUUCGGGCCUGGUCCUGAAAACUUAGUUGUCUAGUUGUGAACUGCUACUCCCCUGGCCCUAUGUUGAGCUCACCUUACAGCUUAGGAUGACGCCUAUUUGCUCUUGCGUCGUUUACAAAAAAACUAAAGAAAGCAAUCUGUCUACAAGACCUGUCCGACCGCAGGAGUCUCGUAUGUGUCCCAUAAAUGUAUGCAAGAAGAAAGGGCUAUCUGGCGCACUGUCGGCUGAUAAGUACCCAUGAUGUCACCCAGUAGUCGGAUGUUUCCACGAUGGGCAGCGGAGGUGGAGAAGCUGAGGUUUUGGCGUAUGGUUUUAUGUAAUUUCAGUUUUUGGGUUGUUUUUAUUCAGUAGCCUUUUUGUUUUGUUUGUUUUUAUACCCUCCACCAUAGGAUGGAGGUAUACCAAUUUCGUCAUUCUGUUUGUAACUCCUCGAAAUAUUCCUCUGAGACCCCAUAAACUAUAUAUAUUCUUGAUCGUCAUUACAUUUCAAGGCGUUCUAACCAUGUCUGUCCGUUUGUCUGUCGAAAGCUCGCUUACUUUCGAAGGAGUAAAGCCAGCCGCUUGCACGAAUACUUCUUAUUAGUGUAGAUCGGUUGGGAUUGUAAAUGGGCCAUAUCGGUCCAUAUUUUGAUAUAGCUGCCAUAUAAACCGAUCUUGGAUCUUGACUUCUUGAGCCUCUACAGGGCGCAAUUCCCAUCCGAUUUGCCUGAAAUUUUGCAAGAAGUGUUUUGUUAUGACUUUGUAUAGAAAUUUUGCAAGAAGUGUUUUGUUAUGAAUUCUAACAGUUGUGCUAAAUAUGGUUUUAUUUGGUUCAUAACCUGAUAUAGCUGCCAUAUAAACCGAUCUGGGAUCUUGACUUUGAAAUUUUGUACAACGACUUCUCUCUUGACCUUCAACAUACGUGUCAAUUAUGAUCUGAAUCGGUCUACAGCCUGAUACAGCUCUCAUAUAAACCGAUCUCCCUAUCUUACUUCUUGUUUUAGCUAUUUUUCUUCUCUUUCAGGUUUUAAUAAAUUUCAGUUAUUUUAAUCUAGCUCUAGCCAGCUUGGCUUUAGUUGACCUCCAUCAUGAAGUAGGUCUUCCAGCCGGCACCAAAAAAAAAUAUGGGGGAGGCAUAAUGAAAGGUUGGUGUCAGCUGGUUAUCUCUCUCUCCCUGAUGGGGGUCAAACAUAGCCAGCAGGUGUCGCUGGAGUCAUAUAAUUGACAUAAAGGUGGCGCUGGGUAUGUACAUUAGGCCGCGCACUACAUUUUUACUCCCAAUCUUACUUACUUUCUUGAAUUGGCUAUGACAAAACAUUUGUCCCAUUAGCCGAACGUAGAAUGGCGUUUCAAGCGCCUCGAUCUUCUGCGCUCCUUCUAAAAUCUUUGACACGUACGACAUUCACCCGGUAGCUAUUUACCGCAUCUGCUAGCGGUCUGCAUGAAUGUUGUCUAGACCCGCAUGAUAUACCGCUUGAUCUAGAAGUUCUCUCUUGUAGCGC